AUGAUUCAAUCUGAGUUCUUUUUUUUUCAGUUAUUUAUAAGUAUGAUAUAUAUUAUCAUAGUUAGAUUGUAGCGUCUUUGACACAAAUAAACAGAACUGAUGCUCUUUGGUUCUGUAGGGGACAAGUGGAACCGAAACGAGAGGAGGCCUAGGCAUCUCUGAUAUUUGGUGUUAGUAGUGGCUUAAGGAAAGGACCAAAACUUGAAAUUGGCACCGAGCAGAAGGAGACGAGCAGAAACUUAUCAUAUUCUACGGUUUGUUCACUUUGUGUUCUUUACACGAUUUCAAGAGAAUCACUUCUUGCUCACACAAAAAGAAAUAUAUAUAUAUAUAUAUAUAUACUGUAUAUAACAAAACGAAAGCAAAAUCAAAUCCUUAAACUAUAGCAUAUUCUUCUACUUUUAGGUUGCUAGAAACAAUUUAAUUUCAAAAUGAAGUAACAUCGAAGGAAGAUGUGAGAAGAAAGGGACGAGAUUUAUUCUGUUACUGUAAAAACAAACCCAAAAGCUCAUGUCAUAGACUCAAGACAUGAGUACAGUUUGGCAUGUGAAACCUUUUAUGACCUGUCUCUUUCACUACCCAGUAUUUCUAACUAUUCCACUUUCUUACACUGCUGUAUUGUGUAAUAAAAAAAAGUUACAAAAAAGAAAGAAAGAAAAAAAAA